CAGGCCUGCUGACUUUUCACUAUUUAUCUUGCAGUGACCCCUUUAAUUAAAAGUAAUUAUUUCACUUAAUGCACAACUAUUUUUUUUCAUAUUAUAUGUACAAACUGUAAAUCCAAAAUAAUAUAUGUAAAAAAAUGUCAAGAUACAAGGAAGUCAGUCAUAUUUUUUAAUAACAAUUUCAAUAUUGAUUCAAAGGUACUUUGUAGUACACUUACACAAUGAUUAUCAAUGGCAUAAAAAGAAAGACUUUUUUUGUCAUUUUUUCCCCCCCACACAAACCACACAACCCUUCUCCUCUUGGACUCCACAGCACUGCUGCAUGGUGGUCACAUUUUCUGAAAGGUACCAAAAUACAUGUGUUAUAGCCCAGUGAAAAAACCAAACAAACCAUAUGUGACCCAUAUGUGCAAGUUAAAUACUGCUCUGUGCAUUUUUUCCAUGUUGAACUGGCUACUCAGGCUGUCUCUUGGUGCCCAGCUGGUGGGCGUUUGACUACAGUGAGUCAAACUGGUGACUUUUAAAAAUCGACCAGUUAAUGCCAAAGUACUGUGGCAGCACAGUGUUUCUGCCGAGAGGAGAUAUGCACAACAAAAACGUGAAUUUGUACGUUCCAUCAUCACCCGACGCAGUUACAAAAGUAAAGAGAUAUUUUUCUGGUAUGUCGAUGUGCAGCGAGUUUACAGCUGCCUUGUGUUGACCUAACUGCUAGAGCUCACGUUGCUUCCCGGAAGCACAGGCUUCAAUGCUUGUGAUUGUUCGGUGAUCCCUUUAAUGCAUCUGCACUUCCUGCCUGUCAACUCAUCUUUGUUCAUCAGCUUUUCCCACUUAUGGCACCAAGGAGAAAAAAAAAGUAAGCAGAGCAAAACGGCAGUGAAAAAUUGGAGGCAUAGGACGAUGCAUGCGCUCUUAAAACACAGAUCACCUAUAAUGUGAACAUAUUUCUGAGGAGGUGUGUCCAGAUUUGUGCCAAAUUUAAGCGGUUUUGAAAUGGAACUUACUGGCUAAUGAUUCGAUCAUACAAUGUUAACUGUGCUUUUUAUUGCUCAAAAACAACAACAAAAUUCAUCCACACUGGAUGUCAAUUUGAAGCCUCUCUCCCCCUGGCUAUUCUUAAAAAAAAAAAGAAAAAGACCUCCCUUAUUGUUUGUUUGUUUUUUGCUAUACCCUUUAACGAAAAAUCUUUUGUUUUAUUUAAAAAAACAAAAAAAAAAAACAAGAAACAACUGAUUAACACUCCCACUCUCCUUGUUCUUUUUUUCCUAUUCCCCAGUGGUGAAAGAUCAGCCCAGAGAAAGGCCUUCAUGAGAGUAAUCGUGAGCCCGAUUGGAAGAAGACAUAAAGAUGAAUUAAUUGGGAGAUGAGAAAAACUCCGCUUUGGCUAAAUCUGUUCCAGGUCUUCUGGGAUCCUUUAAAAAGCCUAUGAACAAAGCUCCAGUGUCAGCAACAAACAAGUGUGGAAUCCAGUCCCACAGACCUUUGUGUUUGUUGCGUCUGAGGCUGGGCUAAAACUAAUUGAGUAAUAAAAUCUGCCGUAAGCAGACACGAACAAACUCCUCACAUCACUUCUCGCUAACCCACAACAAAGCCACUGAGAAACAAACUGUAUUUUCCAAACAGCCUGAACCACAUAUUCUUAUAUUUGACACUUUACACAACUGAAUGAAAAUAAUAAUAAUGAUAGUCAACCAUCCAAAGAUAAAACCAUCUUUCAUUACAUACAUAGCAUUGAAUUACAUUCUAGAGUUCUUAACAUCACGAGUUAAAUGAAAACAAAACAGCAAAAAUAAAGUCACACUUAAAAGUUUUCCACUAACAAUCGAAUCCACAUGGGAGGAUAAACACUGCCAUUUUCCAUUAGGAAAUGAUCAGUUUGAUCCACUGUUAUCAUAUCAAGAUAUUGGCACAGGUACACAGCUUAUGAAAACUUUUCUUGCUGUUUUUUUCCAAUAACAGAUUUAACUGUGGUUCAGUCAGAUUUUUCUCAGUGUUUGUCCACCCAUUCAAAAAAAUACAAUGAGAAAAAGUUGGCACUGAGUGGAGAAGCUCGAAUGAAUAGUGCUGUGAGGAACCUGGGGUUACAUUGCAACUGAAGCUGAACUUUUCCUUCAUAUAUUGUUAAUAAAUAAGAAAACUCAUUUACAUCCAUCAUAAAUCUUAAUUUUAGUAGCUAUGUUUUUGUCUUGAGUACCUAAAAACCUCUCAGUAUAUAUAGAAAAAAUAUAUUUGGUUCUACAUACUCAGUACAGAUAAAUCGGCUCCUUCUGUUUAAUUAGAUUUAUAAUAACCCAUCAUCUUUCUUUAUCAAAAUGAAGCUUAAAGUAGACUGCUCCAAUGAGCUUGGCUGAAUAACGAUUUUGAUAAAUCUGGGAUGUAAAGAGACUGGAUGAUGAUGAACACAGGCCCUUCAUCUAUAUGCAGAUGAGCUUCCUUUGUCAAUAAAUGAAAUGUAUUUUUCUUGCUCAGAAUAUCAGACUCAGUGUUCCAGAAAAACACAAAAUGUUUAUACUGGCUUACAAGCUUGUAAAAAGUCACUACAACAGAUCAGUCAGCAAUCAGACACCAACGCCUCAACUAUCUCAAGUGAGCAGUAAAAAUGUAAACGUCACUUCUGUAGGCAACAUUCAUCCUAUUUAUGUCACGAACGCUCUAGUGUCACACACUCUACUGCAAAUAGAACCUCAUCAGAAUUUGAAGCAGGGGCAUUAACAAGGAUUUUACUUGUGUUUUCAUGUCCACUGCGGUGAUCCAAGCUUAGAUUGACACAAAUGAGGAAUAUAAAAAACACAAUAAUUACAGAGGAAGUCACCGUCACAUGGUGUGCUGUUCAGAGCUUGGUUUAAUUCUCUGGGUGUAAAGAAGUAUAUUUCAUAAAUUCCGCAGCCUCCUGCUCUGUAUGUGAAACGUUAAUGCUCUAAAAACAACACUGACCUGGUUAAAAAUGUAUUUCACUUCCUUACAAAUCUUUAAGCCACAUAAAUAAAUACUCAAACUUCUCUUUCAUUUCUUAUCAGUAUAAUAUUACAACCUAACCUCUUAGUAUGAAUUAUUCCUCUAUACUCGGAACAACAUUACCACACUGACUACCUAAAUACCAAAAUAUCAAAAUGCACAUCCUCCAGUAAAAAAAAACAAAAAAAGACAAACAAACAAAAGCAACAUGAGACCAGCAGCUUCAGACAAACAUACAAAAAUACAGUCACUGAUUUUUAAGACAUCUAAUUUACCACCUUCAGCGCUUCGGUUUUCAGUAAGCCGAUUGCAGCAAAAGUAGUUUCAUGAAACGCUUCCAAAAAGCCAACAUUCAGGAUGCUGAUAUUCAUCUUGUAAUGUUUUGUACAGCACAGUUUAGAGUCUAAAUGCUGUUAUUUUAUCCUGAAAAUGCAAUCUAGCUUUCAACUCAGUUGGUCGAUCAUUCAGUCAUAUUGAGGAAUGUUUCUUUUUUGCAACACUACUGCAGGCCUGAGAAUUAUCUUGAAAUAAUCAGUAUCAAUUUCUAUCUCUGACUUCCAAUAAGAAAGCUAAAAUAAAGAGCAGAUAGAACUACUUAUAACUAUAUAACUGCUUGUGAGAAAAAGAGAAGAGGGCUUCGUUGCUCUCUGCCUCGAAAGAUUUCACCAACACUUUUAAGAGUUAAAUUAUUUAUAACAUCCACUAAACUGCACUCAGACUGGUGGUCAUCACGAUACAAUAUAAGUACUAUAGUGACAAAGCAAACCUCUCUGGACAUGCCCUGUCAGAGUACACAACCAAAAGUCUGUGUGGUGUUUACAUAGUAAACAUUACUCAUUUUUUUCCCCCUGUUACCAAAUUAAAUAAAAUUGCUAGCAAGGCAGUGAGAGAGGCUGCUCCGCCACACAGCACUCCCAGUCAAACUCAUCCCUAAUGGAGAAAUAAUGCUUUUUCUCAUGCCUCCCUCUGCAAGAGUCAGUGGUGAGGGUCAGCUUAAAUGCACCACUCCUGGACCUCAGAGUGAAAACCUUAUUCUGUUCAGUAGCAAUUCAGUAGAGUAGCAAACGUUUAAAAUUGAGGCUUUCCUCACAUUAUGAUCAACAGAGGAAAAUAAGCAUCGCAGGAGAUUAUUAUAUAUAUUUAUAUCUGGCUCUAAAUCAGCAUAUAUGGGUUGAGAAGCAACAGGAAUCGUCCUGAUAACAGGUCGACUGAUUUUAUAUUUUCAUCCAAAAGGUAUGAAAAAUGACUGUGUGUCAUUUUGAUCGGCAGCUGACCGCAUCUGGAUUAAAAGAUAUUUUUAAGCGCAGGGAUUAUCAGUCCAAUUCUAUAAAGUGCAUUUAUCAGACUUAGUCGACACAUUUUGCGGGGACAUCAACAGGAAAUCAAGAUUUUGCUGAACAUGGUCAUCACCAUUAUCAAGAGAACAAUCAUUAACGGAGUUCAUGCUAGAUUAUUGUGAGCCAUCAUGUUUGGGAUUCAGGAGGCAGGAUCGGGUCUGGUUAGAGUUCCCCAAUUUCACCUGGAAAAAAAAUCCCAUGAUGCUAACUUUUCCUACUGUGUAAUAAUUACAACAUACUCUUAAAACCUACGUCUGUAGAUUUAAGGUGAUGUCACAGAACUUAAAGAGAAUAAGAUAGCAACUGAUGCAAGCACUGAUCCUGUCUUUUCUGCAGGGGUAGCUCUUAUGCCUUUUUCAAGGGGGGUGGAUAACACGCAGUUGAAGUGCUGAAGCAAGCUCCGUGUUACUCUAUCGCCGCAUUAUACGGCAUAUUAAUGGGCUCCUCCCAAAUAAUAGCUCAACAAUAGGGCAGGUUAAUUUUUAACAACAGGUCAGGACACAGAUUAUUAAAAUUAAAUGAGUAGUUGUAGCAGUAGUGAUGCAGCAGUUUCAGAAGAAGAGGGGCGAAUUUUGUCUGACGUUAUAUUCAGAAGAUCUUAGAUGAUUUAUUCUUUCUCAUAUACAAAAACCUCUGAGCAAUAAUCUGAGAUUGUUGUUGUGUGCAUGUGUGUAUUUUUCCAUUUGGGAACCAAAGAAAAAAAUAUUUUCUUGUUUUGACUUGGAUGCAUACCACUAAGGAGACACGACAUCAGGUUUAUGACUUAAUAAACCUGUUCACCCCACACAAAAAGCAGCAAAAAAGUACAACAAAUGAUGGCACCAACAGUUAAUGUCCUUACCGAUUUAAAUCUGCAGCCAUGUCUUAAACAAACUGUACUCUAAACUGAGUAAGUAACACUGCAAAAAUAGGAAAUUAUCCCCCAUUUGUUGAUUAUUUGAAAUCAACAAAUGUCCUAAUUUCAUUCAAUAUAGAUUACAAAAUGCAAAGAAAAUUUUCAACUAAUCUCUCCACCCUCCUCCUGGUUCAAUUGUCCUCCACAGAGUAAAGAAUGAUGAAAAAGAACCAGAAAACAGUGUUUUGAUUUGAUUUAACAUGUGCACCUUGUGUACAGAUGGAUAAUAUUGCUUUUACACUGGAAAAUGUGGAGUAUUUAUAUAGAAAAUAUCCAAAACAAUAUAAAUAGUUUUACAUUUAAAUCUUUUUUUAAGAAACCACGUAUUUACCCACAACUGAGUAAGCUAGACCCUUCCUAACCCCUUUGGCACAAUAGUCAUAUUAAUAUUAUUAUAUUGUAUGUAUACAAGACAUCUGAAUAGGAAUGGUCACUCACACAUUCAGAGUAGUAACACAGUUUCUGUAGUCGUAACACAUAUUGGUACUGUAUGUUAUAAGAUAGCUCAAAAAGAUCUUUUUUCUUUUUCUUUUUUAACAUUUGCUGAUAUGUAAAUAAACGUACUUUCAUCUGAAACAAAACAGAACUGUCAUUGCAUGCCCUUAGUAUUUACAGAGUCAUUUUGUCUGAGUUUGUUCUUGCUGGCUACUGUAGAGCACAAAUUCGUAAGUAAACUCAAAAAGGAGGAACCAGACUGUGGACUAUCAUGAUGGACAACAAUGCAGCACUGAUUUUUGGUGUGUUGUGUUUAUCAACGGUCCAAUUAGUAAUCGCUUUAAUGGUAUGUGCACACUGUAUACACGCCACAUGAAGAUAAAAUGUAUUUAAAAAACUGCUCGUGUUGUGUAUGAAAACCUCCUGGUUUUAAUUUUUUUUUGUAUUUGUGUUUUUUGCUUUGCUUUGCAACAACUGAUUUUCUCGGUUGAAGGAGCUGAAACAAAGCCAAGGCCUUGUUUCUCAAAAGCAUCUUAGUAAAUAUAUUCAGUGGCACAUUUUUCCUCCAGGUACAGGCGUUGGCACAUAUAUAAGAACACUCUAUUUAAAGGCAUACCCAAAAUCUUAAAAAGCCAAAUCUAAUCUCCUACAAAUAUAUGAACUACCGUUGCCAAACACUUUGAGUUCACUCACAUUUUCCUCAGUCUAGGAUAUAUGGCAUGAAGCCAGACUCUAAAGACUAAACCGAUGGACUUAAAUUCUUACUGAAGUGAGAAUACUGACGGCAUGAAGCUACAGGCGGUAAAGAAACAACUAGCCUUAUUGUCUUGGUCUUAAUUCAAUAAUUAAAAUGUCAAAUCUCAAAAACACAUUGCUAUUUCGUAGGGGAUCAUUUGCAUCUUGCUUCUAUUUAACCAUGACUUCCUGAAGUAUUGUCAUCACCACACGGUUGCCAGGCAACUAACAGAGACUUCCUACAUUUACCUGACAGAUAAAGCAUGAGAGUGGUAUCGAUUGCCUGCUCUUGUAACCGCAGCCAAUUUUCCACAAUAAGGAAGUAUUCCUUUAAGUCAAUACUACUUGAGGUCUGGGUAAUUUUCAAGUCUGUGUUUUCCUGGAUCUGCAUCACUGACAUUUUUAUUUGGCUAUACUGGAUGUCAGUCAUCAUCAACAGUCAACCAGUAUGGUCUUGUGAGACUAACAGUAAUGUGGCAGCAGUGUAUUAAGUAAACCUAACAUUUAAAAAAAUCUACCUAAUGCUCAAUUUUUGUGAACAUCUUUGGUUGUUCUGCCACCUUUGUUUAAAAAAUAAAAUAAAAAUCAUAGCACCUGAGCAACAGAUGGACC
ensembl:lncRNA